GAAAAUCUAAAAAUCAUGACAACAAUAUGACUUUUUUUAGUAUACAUCCUAAUGUAAGGAUUUUACAUAUUUAAAAAUAAUAUAGUGUCGGGCUUUGUUAGAUUUUUCUUCUACAUAAGAUUCUAGGAUUUGAAAAUAUAGUGUUUUAAUAUUCUAUUUGUUCAAAAGCGUUAUUACUUUGAGUCUAUCUAAACUAGCAACAACAAAUGACAAAAACACGAAACCAGAUUGAAAGAACUCUUUUGCAGAAGUCUUUCUUUCCACCGAUAACUAUAAAAGAUUGAUUUAGAGAGGGUACAUUUCCAUCACAAUAUAAUAUAAUUGAGUUACAAACCUAUUAGUGGAAAACUUAACAGAAACGAGCCUCACAAACAUUUGUCAGNNNNNNNNNNNNNNNNNNNNNNNNNNNNNNNUUGUCAUAGAAUUUUACAUUUGACACUAAUUGUGAGGGCAUAAAUUCCGCCACAAAACUUUUUAUAUUGUUUGUGAAUUUGUGAUAAGAUUUAUUACACUUUACAAGUUAUUUGAAACAUUAGCUUACCUUCCUAGUGCUUGUGUAUCUUUACUUAGUGUACAUCUUAUAUAGAGUAGUCUAGCUUAUAGUUUGUUAGAAGUUUGUUAGCAGUUUGUUAGAACUACCUUCACGUAUAUAAAAGUGCUUGUAACUACUUUACUUAAUCAAUCGAUGAAAAUUGCUUUCGAAGCUUUCAAUAUGCUUCUUCUUCUUCAAUCUUUCUCUGCGUUUUCGGUUAUCUUAAACAACUUCAUGAUGGUAUCAGAGCUCUUCUGA
rnacentral:lncRNA from 1 species